GCUAGCUUCAGCAGCAGAUAUUUAAAUUGGAAUGAUACAGAGAGGAUUAGCUGAGUCCCUGCAUGAGGAAAGUGUGCAAAUUCAUGAAGCCUUCCAAUAUUUA